CAAUAUACAAGGUGCUGCAUGGUUGUCGUCAGCUCGUGCCGUGAGGUGUCGGGUUAAGUCCCAUAACGAGCGCCAAACCCCUAUCAUUUAGUUGCCAUCAGGUCAAGCGUGGGGACUCUAAUAGAAACUGCCUACGCAAGUAGUGAGGAAGGUGGGGAUGACGUCAAAUCAGCACGGCCCUUACGUCCAGGGCUACACACGUGCUACAAUGGCCGAUACAGAGGGCAGCUACCUGGUGACAGGAUGCAAAUCUCCAAAGUCGGUCUCAGUUCGGAUCGGAGUCUGCAACCCGACUCCGUGAAGUUGGAUUCGCUAGUAAUCGCGCAUCAGCCAUGGCGCGGUGAAUACGUUCCCGGGCCUU
rnacentral:rRNA from 1 species